rnacentral:rRNA from 1 species
UACGGAAGGGAGCAGUGGGGAAUAUUGCACAAUGGGCGCAAGCCUGAUGCAGCCAUGCCGCGUGUAUGAAAAAGGCCUUCGGGUUGUAAAGUACUUUCAGUCGUGAGGAAGGUGUUAAGGUUAAUAACCUUAGCAAUUGACGUUAGCGACAGAAGAAGCACCGGCUAACUCCGUGCCAGCAGCCGCGGUAAUACGGAGGGUGCGAGCGUUAAUCGGAAUUACUGGGCGUAAAGGGCACGCAGGCGGUUAAUUAAGUUGGAUGUGAAAUCCCCGGGCUUAACCUGGGAAUGGCAUUCAAGACUGGUUAGCUAGAGUCUUGUAGAGGGGGUAGAAUUCCAUGUGUAGCGGUGAAAUGCGUAGAGAUGUGGAGGAAUACCGGUGGCGAAGGCGGCCCCUGGACAAAGACUGACGCUCAUGUGCGAAAGCGUGGGGAGCAAACGAGGAUUAGAUACC